AAAACCUUUAAAGCAGUAUGACAUCUGACUUCUUUCGUGUGGUUAAUGAGGCUCGCCGUCAUUCGCUCGGACCUUUCAGUCCCUCAUUUAAUAUACAAACUUGCUUGUUUGAAGGUUUACAAAAGCAUUUGCCAGAGGAUGCGCAUAAACGGGUCAAUGGGCGCUUACAUAUUUCGUUAACGCGAGUUCAUGAUGGUAAAAAUGUCAUCGUUUCCGAAUUCAAUUCGCGCGAUGAACUCUUGCAAGCUUUGCUGUGCGCCUGCUUCAUUCCAGGCUUCUCAGGCAUAUUCCCACCUCGGUUUCGUGGAGUGCGGUAUAUGGAUGGAGCUUUUUCUGACAACUUGCCAAUUCUGGAUGAGAACACAAUUACUGUAAGCCCCUUCUGUGGUGAGAGUGAUAUUUGUCCACGUGAUCAAAGUUCUCAACUCUUCCAUUUGAAUUGGGCUAAUACCAGCAUUGAAAUAUCUCGGCAGAAUGUUAAUCGUUUCGUCCGAAUUUUGUUUCCACCGCGACCGGAAUUUCUUUCGAAAUUCUGUCAGCAAGGGUUCGACGAUGCAAUGCAGUUCCUUCAUCGUAAUAAUUUAAUAAAUUGUCGUCGUUGUGUAGCUGUGCAAUCGACAUUUGUAGUAUCAGAGACAGUGGCACAACCUCAGGACUUUGAUCCUGAAUGCAGAGAAUGUAAAAAGCAUAGAAAUGACGCUUUAAGCUCAAACAUGCCACAGACUGUAUUGGAUGUCAUUCAAGAUUAUAUCGAACAAGCUAAUAAAGGCUUGGCCAAUUGGAUAUUUAAGCACCGAGGAAUAAAACUGCUGUCCCUGCCAGCAACAGUACCUAUGGAUUUCUUCUUGGCCACAGUAUCGAAGAUUACUAAACUUACACCAAAACUGAGCAAACACGUUCGCGUGAGGAUAGAAAAUAUUUUAAGGCAAUUAAAUAACACAGUGCAGACCCGCAUUUUAAGCAAUUUUACGAUUUGCGAACCGCCUCAUUUCGAUACGACUGGCUUACUACAUUCCAACCGUCUAUAUGGGCCAAGGGUAUCGAUAUUAGUUGAUGAGUGUGGUGCUCCUUCCAUUGAAGGUGAUGUGGACAACUAUGAGCAUGUUCUUAGAGUAACCACUCACAAUGAUGCACUUUACGCUUACUAUUAUACAGAUGACCUUACGAACAAAGUUAAAGUUACAGAAAUUUUCGAAAUUGAUGAUGACGAACAACUUGCAACCGAUCCGAAAUUAUACGAAGGCAUAGUUGAAGAUCACCCGAAUCCCCAUCAACAUCACCACAAUGUUGUUAGUGAAUGGAACGGCGUAGAAUCAGUACAAGUUAUACCCAGCAAGCCUGAAAAUCGAGAAGAUAUUUUUUAAAACAAACGCUAAUUAUUUUUAAUUUUUUAAACACAUCCGAAAACUUUGUAGACCAAAAAUUGUUGAAUGUUUUAGAUAUUACAUGAUGAACAGCCUUUUAUAUUGAUGAACUACCUUUCGAAUGGGAUUUCACAGAUUCCACAUCCAAAAGUUCGACACAAACUGUUCAUACUGCAUACCAGAUAGACAAAUGUGAAGCCAUUGAUGGUGCUAAUAUUGGAUUAGAAAUCGAAACUGGUGCUUUCAGAGAAGUGGAUCACUAUUUUGCCAAACAACAGCAAAGAAGCAAGAACAUUCAGCACAACACCUAUCAAUAUCUUUAACCGAACAACGUUCGGUAGCUACAAAUUGGGAUUGAUAUUCCCAUUCCAAGAGAAAGGCGAUUGCGGUGACAUGGAAAAUUCAUUUUAUGUACAUACAUAUACUAAUGUUUUAACUUAUUGAGAUUUUUCAUUACUUGCCUAUAGUUAUUUAAAUACACACAGACGUUAUUUAAAUACGUACGGUCAUUAUACAUGUAUAUUUUCUACAUAAGAUAAUUGCGAAAUCCUUCAGGAAAUACCAUUUUUUCGCUAAUUUUGAUCGUAGAGAGCGUUGAUUUUGAAAAUUAACAAUUUUUAUUGAAUCAGUUAUCAUGAUUAAAUGAAAACAGCCUUAA